rnacentral:rRNA from 1 species
UACGUAGGUGGCAAGCGUUGUCCGGAAUCACUGGGCGUAAAGGGUGCGUAGGCGGCGCGGAAAGUCAGGGGUGAAAUCCCGGAGCUCAACUCCGGAACUGCCCUUGAUACUCCCGCGCUUGAGAACUGGAGGGGACAUCGGAAUUCACGGUGGAGCAGUGAAAUGCGUGGAUAUCGUGAGGAACACUAGUGGCGAAGGCGGAUGUCUGGACAGUAUCUGACGCUGAGGCACGAAGGCCAGGGGAGCGAACGGG